ensembl:lncRNA
GGCAGGGAUCAGCGUUAGCAUUCUGUCUAGUAAAUCUGUUAUCUCAUAGGAUAUAUAUUUCGGCACCUGGUACUGCCCCCUAAGCACACGCUGCCGCAGCUCCCAGAAAUCUUGUCCUCCGAAGGGGAAGGAUCCAGUUUCCAUGUUGUACUGCUGAGGCUCCACACAUCCUCCUCUGGCCUGUGUAAGGCAUCCCCAGGAAGAGUUCUGGGGCCAUGAACGCGGGACUGCCGCAGAAAGUGUCUGGCUUCUUUCCUGGGGGCCUCUGGUCACUAAGGCUGAAGUCGGAGAUCUUGGCGUUGUUGUUGGCAUCGAGGAGGAGGUUGCCCAGCUUGAAGUCCUGGUGCACCUUGCCCCCUUGUGGCAGUGCUGCAGAGCCGAGACCAGGUGGCGGAUCGGGCCUUGAGCCUCCCCAUCUGUCUCGCGGCCUUUGGCCUCCAACUGGGUGAACCUGUCUCCGCUGCUGAGGUACUCCUAUAGUAUAAACAGAGUCUCCUCAGUAUCAGUCACUUCCAGGAGUUUGACAGUAUUCGGGUGGUUUAACAUUCUCAUGCUGUUAACCUCUCAAAACAGUUCCUGUAAGCUGGAGAAGCUCUGAUUUGUCUUGUGAAUGGCCUUGAUCGAUACCACUCCCCUGAUCAGAACAUGCUGGGCCAACUUCACUUUGGCAGUGUGGCCUUCACCAAUUGUCUGAACUAUCUCAUAAUUCUCAAUAUGAGCAAUCUUGUUAGCGGAGAUGGCCAUGAGGUCCUGCAUCCCUAACUAUACUAACUACCACUGCUGCUGCUGCUGCUCAGUCGCUUCAGUCGUGUCCGACUCUGUGCGACCCCACAGAGGGCAGCCUACCAGGCUCCCCAGUCCCUGGGAUUCUCCAGGCAAGAACACUGGAGUGGGUUGCCAGCUAUACUAAUUACCUAACUAUACUAACUAUACCACUAAGUAUACUCACUACCACUAAGCCCUCACUAAGAAUCCUAACUGUUCCAGCAAUACUGCAUAUGCAAACAGUCCUAUACAACUAUAUUAAUGCUCACUACUGUGCUAACAGUGCUAACACUAACUAUGCUAAUCAAGUAUUAACUAUACGACCUUUUGCUAAGUAUACAAAUGGUACUAACAGUGCUAACACAAACUAUACUAUCUAUGCUAACAAUAUUAUAUAUGCCAAAUAUUCUAACUAUAUCAAUGAUACUCUCUCUACUAAUACUAGCUGCACUAAAACAAAAUAAGAUAAAAUGAGAAAAUGAAGGGAAAAAAUUGGAAAAAAAAAAAAACAAAAAAAUGAGGAGAAACUAAAAAUGAAAGAAGAAAAUGAUCAGACACAAAUUUAAAAAAUGAGAAAAUGAUAAAGGAAAAAAAAGAAAAAGAAAAAAGAGAGGAAAAGGAAAAAAAUCAACAAAAUCAUGGACAAAAGCUCGCUAACUGUAGGUCCAGCCAUCAGGUCACCAAAAUCAACUUCCUGGGCUCUGUGGACAAAAACCUGCACCCAGCUGGGGGUCUUAUAAAGGGUGUUUUGUGAGUUUCAUCACAGUGAUUGCCUGUGAGGUCAGAGCAAGCAACAGACCAAUCGUGGUUGGGGUUAAGCCCAGUGGUUUUCUCCCUUUUCAGGUCCAAUGCCCCUUUACACUUAGGAAAAAGGUCCCAAAGAGGUUUUUCUUUUAAUAUAUUAGAGACUGGUAUUCACUUUGAUAGAAAUUAAAAUCUGUAGGAGGCUUCAGCAACUUUUUCAUUUCUAGUUUGAAUAAUUAGUAAUAAUUUAAAGGACCUCAUAAUGUCUACACUUGAAAUAUUCAGUUCUUUUUCCUUAAUCUCUGGUCACAAAGUGAUGAUUUAACUGACUUGAUGAAACUGUAGGAAAAUGUUCUAUUGUGUGAGACACUGGUAAAGCACAUUAUUAAUGUUUAUGAAGCUGAGGGAAGAUAUUCCAGGAGGAUCAAGAGCAGAUUUCUCAUUGGGAGCCUCAGAAGUCAGAUGACAUGGGUCAGUGUCUUUGAAAUGUGGAAGGAAAGAAGCUGUUAACUAAGAAUCCUAUGUUUAGCAAAACUGUCCUUCAAAAAUGAAACAGUGAUAGAGGCAUUCCCAGUUCAUGAGAGUUGUGGGAAUUCUCCACCACCCGACCUUCCUGAGCAGGGAGUCCUUCAGGUUGGAAUGAAAGAUCCUCAACAGUAACUCUAAGCCUUAUGAAGAGAUGAAGAUCUCUGGUAAAAGGUGAUAAACGGAUGAUUAGAAAAAAGUGCUACACUGCUGUAAUUAAAAUGGAUAACCAGCAAGGACCUACUGUAUAGCCCAAGGAAUUCCACACAAUGAUAUGUGGCAGCCUGGAUGAGAGAGGUGUUUGAGGGAGAAUGGAUACACGUGUAUGUAUGGCUGAAUCCCUUUUCUUGCCACCUGAAAUUAUCACAGUAUUGUCAAUCAGCUGUGUUAUUGUUGUUCAGUCACCUAGUCAUGUCCCACUCUGCAACCCCAUGGACUACAGCACUCCAGGCCUCCCUGUCCCUCAGUCAGUCAGUUCAGUCGCUCAGUCUCGGAGAGGACGGAGCGACUGAACUGAACUAACGUUAGUUAGCACGUGCACCCAGCCACAAGUGGAAUCUGAUGUUUGAAAGUGUGGAAGAAUUAUCUGUCUCAGACAUACAUGCACCCCAUUGUUCGUGGUUUUGGAUUGUAUGUGCUCUCAUCUUGUCUCUUCAGUAAACUGUGAGUUUCCUGAGGGCAGGGUAUAGAUCAGUCUUUCCUGUCGGUCGCUCCCUCCCUCCUUGUUAAUGUCUAAAGUGACAGUGAAAGUGAAGUCACUCAGUCGUGUCCGACUCUUUGUGACCCCAUGGUCUGCAGCCUGCCAAACUCCUCCACCCAUGGGGUUUUCCAGGCAAGACUACUGGAGUGGGUCAGCAUUUCCUUCUCCAGGGCAGCUUCCCGACCCAGGGAUUGAACCCUGGUCUCCUGCACCACAGGCAGACUCUUUACUGUCUGAGCCACCGGGGAAUGUCUAGCGCAGUAACAAAUCCACACUAGAUAAUCAGUGUUAACAGAUCUAUGGAG